rnacentral:rRNA from 1 species
UACGUAGGGGGCAAGCGUUGUCCGGAAUCAUUGGGCGGAAAGAGCGUGUAGGCGGUUCGGUAAGUCGGCUGUGAAAGUCCAGGGCUCAACCCUGGGAUGCCGGUCGAUACUGCCGGACUAGAGUUCGGAAGAGGCGAGUGGAAUUCCCGGUGUAGCGGUGAAAUGCGCAGAUAUCGGGAGGAACACCUAUGGCGAAGGCAGCUCGCUGGGACGUUACUGACGCUGAGACGCGAAAGCGUGGGGAGCGAACAGG